rnacentral:RNase_P_RNA from 1 species
CCAGACGACCGGAUGGCCGCCUCCGCACCGGUUCGCGCCGGCCGCGGGGGAGGAAAGUCCGGGCUCCACGGAAGCACGGUGCCGGGUAACGCCCGGCGGGGGCGACCCCAGGGAAAGUGCCACAGAGAGGAGACCGCCGGCCGGGACGUUCGCGUCCGCCGGCAAGGGUGAAAGGGUGCGGUAAGAGCGCACCGCGCUGCCGGUAACGGCAACGGCACGGUAAACCCCACCGGGAGCAAGACCAAGUAGGGACGACAGGCCGCUUGAGCGGCCGGGCAUUGUUUUCGCGCCGUCGUCCGGGUCGGUCGCGUGAGGCGUCCGGUAACGGGCGUCCCAGAUGAAUGGUCAUCCCCCGCUUUGCGGCGGGGACAGAACCCGGCUUACAGGUCGUCUGGCAUU